rnacentral:misc_RNA from 1 species
AUCUCUCAACACAGACAAGUUGACCACUUGUUCUGAUGCUUGGAUGUUGAAGGCUGCUGGUAAAGUAAUACCAGCUCCUUUUAAAUUUAUUAGCAGAAACUAAUGCAAAAGCUGGCUUCAGUUUGAUAAGCACUUAUCUGUAUUGCUGUUGCUGGUUAAAUGCUCCUGUUUCAGCUUCCAAUUGUCCAAUUUUUAUGGACUGUCUCCUUGAGGCAAUUCAAUUUGAC